rnacentral:rRNA from 1 species
UACGUAGGGGGCUAGCGUUUGUCCGGAAUCAUUUGGGCGUAAAGCGCGCGUAGGCGGCCCGGUAAGUCCGCUGUGAAAGUCCAGGGCUCAACCCUGGAAAGCCGGUGGAUACUGCCGGGCUAGAGUCCGGGAGAGGCGAGUGGAAUUCCUGGUGUAGCGGUGGAAUGCGCAGAUAUCAGGAGGAACACCGGUGGCGAAGGCGGGAUCCUGGGCCAGUACUGACGCUGAGGAGCGAAAGCGUGGGGAGCAAACAGG